CCUACGGGUGGCAGCAGUGAGGAAUAUUGGUCAAUGGGCGCAAGCCUGAACCAGCCAAGUCGCGUGAGGGAUGACGGUCCUAUGGAUUGUAAACCUCUUUUGUCGGGGAGCAAGGCCCGCCACGUGUGGCGGGAAGGAGAGUACCCGAAGAAAAAGCAUCGGCUAACUCCGUGCCAGCCGCCGCGGUAAUACGGAGGAUGCGAGCGUUAUCCGGAUUUAUUGGGUUUAAAGGGUGCGUAGGCGGACUGUGAAGUCAGCGGGAAAAGCCCGGGGCUCAAACCCGGCGAGCCGUUGAAACUGGUUGUCUUGAGAUGUCGAGAGGUAUGCGGAAUGCGCAGUGUAGCGGUGAAAUGCGUAGAUAUUGCGCAGAACUCCGAUUGCGAAGGCAGCAUACCGGCGGCGAUCUGACGCUGAGGCACGAAAGCGUGGGUAUCGAACAGGAUUAGAUACCCUGGUAGUC
rnacentral:rRNA from 1 species